rnacentral:rRNA from 1 species
GGCUUAACACAUGCAAGUCGAACGGGCAUAGCAAUAUGUCAGUGGCAGACGGGUGAGUAACACGUGGGAACGUACCUUUUGGUUCGGAACAACUGAGGGAAACUUCAGCUAAUACCGGAUAAGCCCUUACGGGGAAAGAUUUAUCGCCGAAAGAUCGGCCCGCGUCUGAUUAGCUAGUUGGUAGGGUAAUGGCCUACCAAGGCGACGAUCAGUAGCUGGUCUGAGAGGAUGAUCAGCCACACUGGGACUGAGACACGGCCCAGACUCCUACGGGAGGCAGCAGUGGGGAAUAUUGGACAAUGGGCGCAAGCCUGAUCCAGCCAUGCCGCGUGAGUGAUGAAGGCCCUAGGGUUGUAAAGCUCUUUUAACGGGGAAGAUAAUGACGGUACCCGUAGAAUAAGCCCCGGCUAACUUCGUGCCAGCAGCCGCGGUAAUACGAAGGGGGCUAGCGUUGCUCGGAAUCACUGGGCGUAAAGCGCACGUAGGCGGACUCUUAAGUCGGUGGUGAAAUCCUGGAGCUCAACUCCAGAACUGCCUUCGAUACUGGGAGUCUCGAGUUCGGGAGAGGUGAGUGGAACUGCGAGUGUAGAGGUGAAAUUCGUAGAUAUUCGCAAGAACACCAGUGGCGAAGGCGGCUCACUGGCCCGAUACUGACGCUGAGGUGCGAAAGCGUGGGGAGCAAACAGG